rnacentral:rRNA from 1 species
UACGUAGGGUGCGAGCGUUGUCCGGAAUUAUUGGGCGUAAAGAGCUCGUAGGCGGUGUGUCGCGUCGGCCGUGAAAACCUGGGGCUCAACUCUGGGCGUGCGGUCGAUACGGGCAUCACUUGAGUUCGGCAGGGGAGACUGGAACUCCUGGUGUAGCGGUGAAAUGCGCAGAUAUCAGGAGGAACACCGGUGGCGAAGGCGGUCUGCUGGGCAGUUGCUGACACUGAGGCGCGACAGCGUGGGGAGCAAACAGG